rnacentral:rRNA from 1 species
GACGUAGGGCGCGAGCGUUGUCCGGAUUUACUGGGCGUAAAGGGCGCGUAGGCGGCCACCGCAAGUCGACUGUGAAAUCUCCGGGCUUAACCCGGAAAGGUCAGCCGAUACUGCGGGGCUAGAGUGCAGAAGGGGCAACUGGAAUUCUCGGUGUAGCGGUGAAAUGCGUAGAUAUCGAGAGGAACACCUGCGGCGAAGGCGGGUUGCUGGGCUGACACUGACGCUGAAGCGCGAAAGCGUGGGGAGCAAACAGG